GGCUCUAGAGCGAGUUCUCCCGAUACUUCACGAGGACUUCCAGGGACAUUUUCACCCCUUCAGGGGAAAAUUACAAUUUUGCCAUUUCCAAGGUAAAAAUGAACAUUUUCAGGUCAAUUCUGUGCUGUAAAACUCUUAAAAUCCAAGCUUCAAACAGACAAUUAAAUAUCUCAAAACAUCCAGAAGCAAAACCUUUAGAAUGCGAAGAUGAUCCUAAAUCCCCUGAAUUUUCCCGACCUGCCCAGUUACCACAAUUCCCCUGAAAAUCUUCGUGAGGGGCAUCGUUUCCCCGACUUUUGUAGACAUUUCCACCCCUGAAAUUUCAGCCACAGUUGAAUAUCACUUUUAGCUUCCACCUUAGCGUAUAUGAAGUUAUGUUGAGAAGCAGGACGAAUCAGUUUUUUCCCGAGCAUUCAUCAUAAAACUAUAUGUCGACUCCUCGCGAGAGUGAGCUUCAUUUUUCCGCAAAAUAUCUCGUGUGAUUUUUUUUCCUGUUACAAUGCCACUGGGAGGGUUGUUUUCCAACGCCAAAAACGGAAAGCAACCCCCCGAAAUCUCAGAGUGAUUUUUUCCAUUCUUUUUUUUUGCUGCUGUUGUCCUCUUUUUUUCUCCUUUUUUCUCUCUCUGCACAUUUCUAGAGGGAUUUGUUAAAAUAAGUGCUCACUUCCCUGAUAGAGAUAUUCAUCGCAAUUUCACAGAGGAUAUCAACGUCUGUAAAAAAUAACAGAAAAAUGCAGCGUACAUUGCUAACUCGAAUUCAAAGCCAUACGCAGAAUCAAUGGGAAACCCACUCGAGACACUGAGCCCCUCGCAGGCGAAAAUCCUACAAUUUCACAAAAGGAUUCACAGAGGCAGCUUUAGCAAGCUAAGAAUUCAAUCGAUUCUAUCAUCCAGCGAUAUAGAACAAAUAAAAAUAAAAAUACUCUGAGA